rnacentral:rRNA from 1 species
UACGGGGGGGGCAAGCGUUGUUCGGAAUUACUGGGCGUAAAGGGCUCGUAGGCGGCCAACUAAGUCAGACGUGAAAUCCCUCGGCUUAACCGGGGAACUGCGUCUGAUACUGGAUGGCUUGAGUGUAGGAGAGGGAUGCGGAAUUCCAGGUGUAGCGGUGAAAUGCGUAGAUAUCUGGAGGAACACCGGUGGCGAAGGCGGCAUCCUGGACUACUACUGACGCUGAGUGAGCGAAAGCGUGGGGAGCAAACAGG